rnacentral:ncRNA from 1 species
UUUAUAGGUUCUGUAGCAGAAACUAAUAGAGCUCCAUUUGAUUUAGCAGAGGCUAGUUAGAUUUGGCCUCUUUAAAGAUCACAAAUUGCUGGAAAACCCUUAAUCAAGGACAAUCAGCAGGUAAGCAACUAUAAAUUAGUUGAAUCUUCAGAGACUAAACGUGAUCAUUUAAUAUAACAUGUUAUAUUAAAUAAGAUAUAGUCCAGACUUAUAUGAAAAUAUAAG